rnacentral:lncRNA from 1 species
UGGUGUGUGUCAGGCAAUGGAAGUAACAGUCUAGUUUCAUAAGACUGGGAUUAUAGGGCCAUAAGAUUUUAGCAGGAAGUUUAGGGUGACUGUGUUCUGUUGCAGAUGAGCCACUUGCCUAAGGACAUCAUGGAUAGACUGUGCUCUAGGACCCCAGCUGUCUGCACCAUGCUCUGCUGCUCUGUCUACUGCUAGAUCUACCCAUAUGCCUUUGCCGUGCAGAAUGAAUUUGCAGCCUCUCCUUCUAUUGACCUGGUCUUUACUUUAGAAUUUAGUCUUCACUUUAGAACGCAGAGGUAACAAACCAUCAGCCCAGGCUCCUACAAUAGCUUCACACUUGGCUAAACAGCCUAUGCAAAAGUUGUUCUUGCUUCCAGCUCCAUCAGACUGCCUCUGUGGCCACCUCUGGUAAGCGCUAAACUACAGGUCUGUGAAAAACACAAGCUUCUAAACCUCAGAGGCCUACAGUUGGAGAUGCAGGCGUGUCAGAGUCAUAUGCAAAUCUGAAUAGUAUGCUCUGAAAUAAGGCACCUAUGUAGGGGGGACAGUUGUAUCAUAGGACUGUGGCGGUGGCUUAGUUAAUCACUUGGCUUGCUUCUCAUUGUUGUGGGUAACCUUGAGAAGCAAUUAAUUCACCAUGACAAGGUUCUAGAAAUGUUUUUAAAAUGCAGUCAUCCCUCUCAGAGUGUAAGUCCUUUAGAAGUCCUUUUGUAUACGUCCUUUAGAACCAAGGUUAGCAACAUUCUUGGUAAAGGGCCAGACAAUAAAUGUUUUAUUGGUUAAUUUUUUCCAUCUAUUGGAUCUAUAAUCCAGCUACUCAUCUCUGACCAUUGUAGACCAUAAGCAGCCAUAGAUCACAUGUGAACAGCUGUAUGUUACUGCUGUUUUAACAAAACUUUGUUUACAAAGAAGAGGCAAGGGCCAGAUCUGUCAACCAAUGAGCUAUAGUUUGUAGACCCAUGCUGUAGAAUGCUGGGAACCUGUCAGCUCUGAGUGCUCAAGUGGUGGUUUAGAAGAAGGCCUGUCCCCUUGGUUUGCUCUUUUAACAGUCUGUUCAUCUCUCAGCAAUCUAAUUAACAUCUUCUUUUCCUGCUGAAAGACUCAUUUCCUGGCAAAUAUUUAAUUUAGCUUGCAAAUGUCAACAAAGACUAAGUUGUUACACUGGCUAAUGCAAAUGCUAGACAUUAAAGCAAGUCCAGGGGAGUUAGCCUUGGAUAAUUGUGGAGGGUCCUACCCUAAAUAUAAUAACCUUGAGAAGUUUAAUACAUUCAUGAAAGAAGGAAAGAAAGGAAGAAAGG